rnacentral:rRNA from 1 species
UUGAUCAUGGCUCAGAUUGAACGCUGGCGGCAUGCUUUACACAUGCAAGUCGAACGGUAACAGGUCUUCGGAUGCUGACGAGUGGCGAACGGGUGAGUAAUACAUCGGAACGUGCCUAGUAGUGGGGGAUAACUACUCGAAAGAGUAGCUAAUACCGAAUGAGAUCUACGGAUGAAAGCAGGGGACCUUCGGGCCUUGUGCUACUAGAGCGGCUGAUGGCAGAUUAGGUAGUUGGUGGGGUAAAGGCUUACCAAGCCUGCGAUCUGUAGCUGGUCUGAGAGGACGACCAGCCACACUGGGACUGAGACACGGCCCAGACUCCUACGGGAGGCAUGCAGUGGGGAAUUUUGGACAAUGGGCGAAAGCCUGAUCCAGCAUGCCGCGUG